UGAGGAAUAUUGCUCAAUGGGCGAAAGCCUGAAGCAGCGACGCCGCGUGGAGGAUGAAGGCCUUAGGGUUGUAAACUUCUGUUAAGUGGGAAGAAAGACGUCCGAGUAAUAUGCGGACGGGAUGACGGUACCACUAGAGAAAGCACUGGCUAAUCUCGUGCCAGCAGCCGCGGUAAUACGAGAGGUGCGAGCGUUGUUCGGAAUUACUUGGUGUAAAGGGUGCGUAGGCGGCAUAUUAAGUCAAUCGUUAAAUCUCCUGGCCUAACCGGGAGUCUGCGGUAGAUACUGAUAUGCUAGAGGGUGGAAGAGAGAAGUAGAAUUCUCGAAGUAGCGGUAAAAUGCGUAGAUCUCGAGAGGAAUACCAAUGGCGAAGGCAGCUUCUUGGUCCAUCCCUGACGCUCAGGCACGAAAGCGUGGGGAGCAAACAGG
rnacentral:rRNA from 1 species